AAUGGGUCAGCGACUUAUAUUCUGUAGCAAGGUUAACCGAAUAGGGGAGCCGAAGGGAAACCGAGUCUUAACUGGGCGUUAAGUUGCAGGGUAUAGACCCGAAACCCGGUGAUCUAGCCAUGGGCAGGUUGAAGGUUGGGUAACACUAACUGGAGGACCGAACCGACUAAUGUUGAAAAAUUAGCGGAUGACUUGUGGCUGGGGGUGAAAGGCCAAUCAAACCGGGAGAUAGCUGGUUCUCCCCGAAAGCUAUUUAGGUAGCGCCUCGUGAAUUCAUCUCCGGGGGUAGAGCACUGUUUCGGCAAGGGGGUCAUCCCGACUUACCAACCCGAUGCAAACUGCGAAUACCGGAGAAUGUUAUCACGGGAGACACACGGCGGGUGCUAACGUCCGUCGUGAAGAGGGAAACAACCCAGACCGCCAGCUAAGGUCCCAAAGUCAUGGUUAAGUGGGAAACGAUGUGGGAAGGCCCAGACAGCCAGGAUGUUGGCUUAGAAGCAGCCAUCAUUUAAAGAAAGCGUAAUAGCUCACUGGUCGAGUCGGCCUGCGCGGAAGAUGUAACGGGGCUAAACCAUGCACCGAAGCUGCGGCAGCGACGCUGAUGCGUUGUUGGGUAGGGGAGCGUUCUGUAAGCCUGCGAAGGUGUGCUGUGAGG
rnacentral:rRNA from 1 species